rnacentral:rRNA from 1 species
AUUGAACGCUGGCGGCAUGCUUUACACAUGCAAGUCGAACGGUAACAGGCCUUCUGGUGCUGACGAGUGGCGAACGGGUGGGUAAUGCAUCGGAACGUACCCAGAGGUGGGGGAUAACGCAGCGAAAGCUGUGCUAAUACCGCAUGUGAUCUGAGGAUGAAAGCGGGGGACCGGGCAGCAAUGUUUGGCCUCGCGCCUUUGGAGCGGCCGAUGUCGGAUUAGCUAGUUGGUGGGGUAAAGGCCUACCAAGGCGACGAUCCGUAGCUGGUCUGAGAGGACGACCAGCCACACUGGGACUGAGACACGGCCAAGACUCCUACGGGAGGCAGCAGUGGGGAAUUUUGGACAAUGGGCGCAAGCCUGAUCCAGCAAUGCCGCGUGCGGGAAGAAGGCCUUCGGGUUGUAAACCGCUUUUGGCAGGAACGAAACGGUGUCCGCUAAUACCGGGCGCUAAUGACGGUACCUGCAGAAUAAGCACCGGCUAACUACGUG